rnacentral:rRNA from 1 species
GAUGAACGCUGGCGGCGUGCCUAAUACAUGCAAGUCGAGCGAACAGACGAGGAGCUUGCUCCUCUGACGUUAGCGGCGGACGGGUGAGUAACACGUGGAUAACCUACCUAUAAGACUGGGAUAACUUCGGGAAACCGGAGCUAAUACCGGAUAAUAUAUUGAACCGCAUGGUUCAAUAGUGAAAGACGGUUUUGCUGUCACUUAUAGAUGGAUCCGCGCCGCAUUAGCUAGUUGGUAAGGUAACGGCUUACCAAGGCAACGAUGCGUAGCCGACCUGAGAGGGUGAGCGGCCACACUGGAACUGAGCCACGGUCCAGACUCCUACGGGAGGCAGCAGUAGGGAAUCUUCCGCAAUGGGCGAAAGCCUGACGGAGCAACGCCGCGUGAGUGAUGAAGGUCUUCGGAUCGUAAAACUCUGUUAUUAGGGAAGAACAAAUGUGUAAGUAACUAUGCACGUCUUGACGGUACCUAAUCAGAAAGCCACGGCUAACUACGUG